rnacentral:sRNA from 1 species
UCCCUGUCUACUAUCCAGCGA